rnacentral:lncRNA from 1 species
CAUUUGUAAACAAAACAGUGUUUAUUGUCGUUAUCGAAGCCUACAGGAAUACUAAACAAUCACCUUUUCGUUUGAACAACGUUUUUCAAAAAUACUAAAAUUUUAUCACCAUUGUUUGUAUUGAUACAGUCUGUAGCAAGAUCAUUUAAAAUUUCAAUCAGCGAGUACCCACGUGUCGAUCAUUGAGGAAGUGACCCCGUAUCUUUUUAUUUAUAAAUAAAUAUGUUCUAUCAAUCUGCAUAUAAAGAUAACAGUUUAAAUACAAAUCUAGACAAUUUGGGUUAUUCUAAAAGGUUUUGAUUCAUAAUCAGUGAUAUAUCUUUAUCAAACAGUGUUGGAGAAAAAUUUAAAUGCUGAUUUUUGAACAUUAGUCAAAUACAACUUCAGAAUUCAUUCAUUACAAAAUUACAAUUCCAAUAAGGGAGCAGUGGAUAUUCUAGAUUAGUUUGUUGGCACGUAUACAUGUGAUAAGAGAUAAAUCGCUGGCCAAUGAUUGUUUUUUAUAAUGUGCUGGACAUUUCUGCCUACAACGCGUUCGUGUUAUGGGCAUCAAUAUAUUGUAUCCAAUGGAAUAACAAUAAACUGGCAAAACGGCGAAUUUUCCUUGAGGAAUUGGGAAAAAACUAAUGAAGCCAGUCAUCAUUUCCA